UGGCUCAGGACGAACGCUGGCGGCGUGCCUAAUACAUGCAAGUAGAACGCUGAAGAGAGGAGCUUGCUCUUCUUGGAUGAGUUGCGAACGGGUGAGUAACGCGUAGGUAACCUGCCUUGUAGCGGGGGAUAACUAUUGGAAACGAUAGCUAAUACCGCAUAACAAUGGAUGACACAUGUCAUUUAUUUGAAAGGGGCAAUUGCUCCACUACAAGAUGGACCUGCGUUGUAUUAGCUAGUAGGUGAGGUAACGGCUCACCUAGGCGACGAUACAUAGCCGACCUGAGAGGGUGAUCGGCCACACUGGGACUGAGACACGGCCCAGACUCCUACGGGAGGCAGCAGUAGGGAAUCUUCGGCAAUGGGGGCAACCCUGACCGAGCAACGCCGCGUGAGUGAAGAAGGUUUUCGGAUCGUAAAGCUCUGUUGUAAGUCAAGAACGAGUGUGAGAGUGGAAAGUUCACACUGUGACGGUAGCUUACCAGAAAGGGACGGCUAACUACGUGCCAGCAGCCGCGGUAAUACGUAGGUCCCGAGCGUUGUCCGGAUUUAUUGGGCGUAAAGCGAGCGCAGGCGGUUUGAUAAGUCUGAAGUUAAAGGCUGUGGCUCAACCAUAGUUCGCUUUGGAAACUGUCAAACUUGAGUGCAGAAGGGGAGAGUGGAAUUCCAUGUGUAGCGGUGAAAUGCGUAGAUAUAUGGAGGAACACCGGUGGCGAAAGCGGCUCUCUGGUCUGUAACUGACGCUGAGGCUCGAAAGCGUGGGGAGCGAACAGGAUUAGAUACCCUGGUAGUCCACGCCGUAAACGAUGAGUGCUAGGUGUUGGAUCCUUUCCGGGAUUCAGUGCCGCAGCUAACGCAUUAAGCACUCCGCCUGGGGAGUACGACCGCAAGGUUGAAACUCAAAGGAAUUGACGGGGGCCCGCACAAGCGGUGGAGCAUGUGGUUUAAUUCGAAGCAACGCGAAGAACCUUACCAGGUCUUGACAUCCCGAUGCUAUUUCUAGAGAUAGAAAGUUACUUCGGUACAUCGGUGACAGGUGGUGCAUGGUUGUCGUCAGCUCGUGUCGUGAGAUGUUGGGUUAAGUCCCGCAACGAGCGCAACCCCUAUUGUUAGUUGCCAUCAUUCAGUUGGGCACUCUAGCGAGACUGCCGGUAAUAAACCGGAGGAAGGUGGGGAUGACGUCAAAUCAUCAUGCCCCUUAUGACCUGGGCUACACACGUGCUACAAUGGUUGGUACAACGAGUUGCGAGUCGGUGACGGCAAGCUAAUCUCUUAAAGCCAAUCUCAGUUCGGAUUGUAGGCUGCAACUCGCCUACAUGAAGUCGGAAUCGCUAGUAAUCGCGGAUCAGCACGCCGCGGUGAAUACGUUCCCGGGCCUUGUACACACCGCCCGUCACACCACGAGAGUUUGUAACACCCGAAGUCGGUGAGGUAACCUUUUGGAGCCAGCCGCCUAAGGUGGGAUAGAUGAUUGGGGUGAAGUC
rnacentral:rRNA from 1 species